AGAGUUUGAUUAUGGUUCAGGAUGAACGCUGGCGGCGUGCCUAACACAUGCAAGUCGAACGGAGUGUUUCUUCGGAGGACACUUAGUGGCGGACGGGUGAGUAACGCGUGGGUAAUCUGCCUUACACAGGGGGACAACAGUUGGAAACGACUGCUAAUACCGCAUAAGCCCACAGGACCGCAUGGUCCGGUGAGAAAACGAAUUAUCGGUGUAAGAUGAGCCCGCGUUGGAUUAGUUAGUUGGCGGGGUAACGGCCCACCAAGACGACGAUCCAUAGCCGACCUGAGAGGGUGAUCGGCCACAUUGGGACUGAGACACGGCCCAAACUCCUACGGGAGGCAGCAGUGGGGAAUAUUGCGCAAUGGGGGGAACCCUGAACCGCAGCAACGCCGCGUGAGUGAAGAAGUAUUUCGGUAUGUAAAGCUCUAUCAGCAGGGAAGAAAACGACGGUACCUGCAGAAGAAGUCCCGGCUAACUACGUGCCAGCAGCCGC
rnacentral:rRNA from 1 species